UAAUAAAUUUAACUUUUAUAGAGUGACUAAUGCCCUGUGGAGAUAAGGCAGACUCUCAGUCACCUGUGUUUAAUCCAGGCCGAAGAAAUUAUGCCAAGAGCACACUGACAAAACUUUAUUUCUUUGGAGAAGAUGGCAGUAACUUGGUAGGGAGCAGGAAGGGUCUUAGUUUUAAAAGUCUUGUUGGAAUGACUCUCAUUCUCACUGUGAACCCGUUUAGCAUUUAUGUACUUUGGAAGGACAAAGAGGUGAGGUAAGCCUGCCAAAAUUUGAAUCUGUGUUUCUGGGAACCUGUUAGUAGGUCAACUGUUACAAAUGUAAGAGGAACUGCAAAGGAGCGGUAAAUACUAGAAAUUUGGGAGUUGGCCUGCAAACAGCUUUAUUAAAGCUUGCACUGUUUCUUCUUCUAGAUCUCAGGUUAAGAAGUGAAAAGUGCCUCUGUUGAGUUGUUCAAGAAUGUACAACACUGAAGGAAGAAAGAAGAUACACUUCAGCUGUAACUAUAAUCAAUAUUGUUAUAGAAACUUUUUUUCCUUAAAUGUAACUGAUCAAGAAUAAAGCUAAUCUAUGGACAACGUUUGUGAUUUCACCAUCAGACAAAGUUACACUGAAACAAGCAAAGGAUUCUUCACUGUGUAAAUUUACCCAGGGCCAAAUAUGCACAAGUGCAAAUCCCUGACCCAGUAGGAAUAAAUAACCAAUUACGGAA